CCCUUAGAUGUCCGGGGCUGCACGCGCGCUACACUGUAGAAAGCAGCGUGCUUUAAAACCUUUCCUGAAAAGGAUGGGUAACCCCAGCAAAAUUCUACGUGCUUGGGAUAGAGAUUUGCAAUUUUCUCUCUUGAACGAGGAAUUCCCAGUAAGUGCGAGUCAUCAGCUCGCGUUGAUUACGUCCCUGCCCUUUGUACACACCGCCCGUCGCUACUACCGAUUGAAUGGUUUAGUGAGGCCUUCGGAUCCGCGACUCGUUUUGUGGAGAAGUUGGACAAACUCAGUCAUUUAGAGGAAGUAAAAGUCGUAACA
rnacentral:rRNA from 1 species